rnacentral:tRNA from 1 species
AGAGUAAUAGGUUAAAUGUUUAAACUUUCGAUUUGUGGUAUCGUAGAUCUUAAUUUUAAGUUAUUCUA